rnacentral:tRNA from 1 species
AAAUCUUAUAGUUUAUGAAAAAUAUUAAAUUGCAAGUUUAAAGAAAUUAAUUUUAAGAUUU